ACGAACGCUGGCGGCGUGCUUAACACAUGCAAGUCGAACGGAAAGGCCCCUUUGGGGGUACUCGAGUGGCGACCGGGUGAGUAACACGUGAGUAACCUGCCCUUGACUUCGGGAUAACUUCAGGAAACUGGGGCUAAUACCGGAUAGGAAUCCUUGCUGCAUGGUGGGGGUUGGAAAGCUUCGGCGGUUUUGGAUGGACUCGCGGCUUAUCAGCUUGUUGGUGGGGUAGUGGCUUACCAAGGCUUUGACGGGUAGCCGGCCUGAGAGGGCGACCGGCCACAUUGGGACUGAGAUACGGCCCAGACUCCUACGGGAGGCAGCAGUGGGGAAUAUUGCACAAUGGGCGGAAGCCUGAUGCAGCAACGCCGCGUGCGGGAUGACGGCCUUCGGGUUGUAAACCGCUUUCAGCAGGGGCGAAGCUUGUGGUGAGGGUACCUGCAGAAGAAGCACCGGCUAACUACGUG
rnacentral:rRNA from 1 species